rnacentral:rRNA from 1 species
AUUGAACGCUGGCGGCAGGCUUAACACAUGCAAGUCGAGCGGGGUGAUGGUGCUUGCACUAUCACUUAGCGGCGGACGGGUGAGUAAUGCUUAGGAAUCUGCCUAUUAGUGGGGGACAACAUCUCGAAAGGGAUGCUAAUACCGCAUACGUCCUACGGGAGAAAGCAGGGGAUCACUUGUGACCUUGCGCUAAUAGAUGAGCCUAAGUCGGAUUAGCUAGUUGGUGGGGUAAAGGCCUACCAAGGCGACGAUCUGUAGCGGGUCUGAGAGGAUGAUCCGCCACACUGGGACGGAGACACGGCCCAGACCCCUACGGGAGGCAGCAGUGGGGAAUAUUGGACAAUGGGGGGAACCCUGAUCCAGCCAUGCCGCGUGUGUGAAGAAGGCCUUAUGGUUGUAAAGCACUUUAAGCGAGGAGGAGGCUCUUUUGGUUAAUACCCAAGAUGAGUGGACGUUACUCGCAGAAUAAGCACCGGCUAACUCUGUGCCAGCAGCCGCCGUAAGAC